rnacentral:tRNA from 1 species
GGAUUGUGGCUCAGCGGUAGAGCGCUGGUCUAACACGUGUGAGGCCCUGAGUUCGAUCUUCAGCACCA